rnacentral:rRNA from 1 species
GCAACCGGCGAACGAGGUAGUAACACGUAGAUAUGUACCCUUUAGUUGGGCAUAGCUAAUCGAAAGGUUAGGUAAUUCCCAAUAGUCUCGUAAGAGUAAAGAUUUAUCGCUAAAGGAACAGUCUGCGGCCUAUCAGCUAGUUGGUGAGGUAAAAGCUCACCAAGGCGAUGACGGGUAGGGGGGGUGAGAGCCUGAUCCCCACCGAUGGAACUGAGACACGGUCCAUACUCC